rnacentral:lncRNA from 1 species
AGACUUGGUUUCAUGUGCUUCAAGAAGAUCUUCCCUUCUUCCCAGAUUUUUUUUUCUUUAUUUUCCCAGAUUUGCAAAAUCUGAGGCAGGUUUUAUUGCAGAAGACCUAUGCUUUUUUGGGAAGCUCAUUUUAAACCUUCAUUCAAUUGGCUCAGCUGAAGUGAGAUCUUGAAUGAUUUUAGACAUUUGGGAAUGGAAGACAAGGUGAUGUGGAGACUAGAGCAUAGCUGCCUCAUUACUCUUGGUCUAGCCCAAGGUGAGAAACCAAAGAAGGAGGCUCAGGGAGAUCUGGAAAUACCAGGUGGAUCAGAAACAGAAUUGGAGCUAUUUUAUCUGGACCUAAUUAAACAGCCUUCAUUACUGGCAGGCUCUCCUGGUGGCUGAUGUGAUUGCAGAGAAGAUAACAGAGGCCAUACCCAAAGGACUGACUCUGAUCCUGCUGAAACAAAACAAAAAAAAAGAAUUUAUUCCUUUGAGAUCAAGCCUGGAAGAUGUCCUACUUUGCUUUGGUCUUCUUAAACCUUGUCACGCAACAGUAUGCAUACUUUUUCCCUGUUGCUGUCUUCAUGUCUGAAGAACUAACAGAUUUUCAUGGGAUGAAUAUAAAUAAAAGUCUGUACUGAUGAACUUUGAAGGGAAUG